AUUUGCACCCAACAUGAAACAAACUUUGAUGCACUUCACCACUGGGUCUUCUGCUGUCGUCAGAGAGGAAGAAAUCCUUUCAUUCAAACAGAAAACUCUAUGAUUGAGUGGGAGAUAGAGAGAAAAGAGAACAUGAGAAAGACGGAGACAGAAAAAAUAGGGGUGCUGCUCGAAGAGAAGAUUCUGCCCUUUCCUCUUUUCUGACACCUCUCAACACAGAGGAAUGACUCUCCUCAGGACCAGUGUAGAAAUGGAUAUGAAGGCUCCUCAGGGGGAUUGCAUUCUUGUUGGAGUCUCGACUAUGUCACGCAAUCCGUCACCUUGACGCCAAGACUACGUCAGUUGCCCACACUGCUCUUUACGAGAGGGGUCGGCUGGACCCACGCACGCCUCUGUACCUCUGGUUAAUGUUGAGGCAACCAGUGAGCUCCUAUGCUCUCUCUGACGUGCUCAAAAAGAAGGGAAAUGUAACGCCCUCAGCUUCUUCAUCUUGAAGAUAUACCUGAAGUGGUUUGCUCCAAGUUUUCUUCAGAAAUCAUAUGGUACAACGCUUUCAAAACUGAUGGCAGCUUGAUGACUCAAACCACUUUUUAUUUGGGUAAAUCCAGAUUCUGAGAUUUUCUUAUGAAGCCCCAGUGUGUUUGAUAUUAAAUAAAUAAUUCUGAAAUAAGUGAUUACCCAUUCAUUUCUUGAAGAUAUUAUGAAAAAUACAUAAGUGAAUUUUUUGUGAAAAUAAGCAUGAUAUUAAAAACCAAAAAUAA